rnacentral:lncRNA from 1 species
GGUUGUAUCUGUUUUUUAUCCAAAACAACAAGGAAGACAAGACAAAUUUGAAAAGAAUGAGCAAACUAGAAAAAUUUGAAUAAUUUAUGGGUCUCAACGAUCAAGAUAUUUAUAUAUCAUUGAAUAUAAUAAAAUUAAAUAUCAUUAAAAUAUUAUAAUAUUAGUUCAAUAUAUUUAAAAUGGUCUUAUUAAAAAUAGUAAAAGUA